rnacentral:misc_RNA from 1 species
GCAUCCUCUUUGACAUAGCCCAUCCGCUAGUACAAGCCAACGCCAAAUGGCCAGUCAUUUAAAAAGAAGCGUGAACGCUAAACAAGGGCAAAUCAAGGUCCCCAUGAGAGCCUAUGCCCAUAUCAGGUUCCAUAUCCAAGAUAACAUGCAAUGCCCAAUGAGCCACAAUAUCAACACAAGCAUUAACAAUGUGGAUCAAAGAGACGGCUUCAAGGUUCAUCUCAUGCCAAGUGGAAGACAAAAGACUAAAGGUGGUUCAUUUAAUCAUAGGAGAAUUCCAUAACAUAGGUAAGCAACACAAGAUUACCACAAUUUGCAUAGGUGAUAUGAACACCUAGGCAAGCAACUGAAGAGGUAAGUCAAGUGGCAGUUGUUGCGCAAGCAAA